rnacentral:rRNA from 1 species
CGGUAACAUUUCUAGCUUGCUAGAAGAUGACGAGUGGCGGACGGGUGAGUAAUACUUAGGAAUAUGCCUUUGUGUGGGGGAUAACUAUUGGAAACGAUAGCUAAUACCGCAUAACGUCUUCGGACCAAAGGGGGCUUCGGCUCCCGCGCAAAGAGUAGCCUAAGCGAGAUUAGCUUGUUGGUGAGGUAAAGGCUCACCAAGGCGACGAUCUCUAGCUGUUCUGAGAGGAAGAUCAGCCACACUGGAACUGAGACACGGUCCAGACUCCUACGGGAGGCAGCAGUGGGGAAUAUUGCACAAUGGGGGAAACCCUGAUGCAGCCAUGCCGCGUGUGUGAAGAAGGCCUUCGGGUUGUAAAGCACUUUCAGUUGUGAGGAAAGGUUAGUGGUUAAUACCCAUUAGCUGUGACGUUAGCAACAGAAGAAGGACCGGCUAACUCCGUGCCAGCAGCCGCGGUAAUACGGAGGGUCCGAGCGUUAAUCGGAAUUACUGGGCGUAAAGCGCACGCAGGCGGUUUGUUAAGCUAGAUGUGAAAGCCCUGGGCUCAACCUGGGAAUUGCAUUUAGAACUGGCAGGCUAGAGUUUUGGAGAGGGGAGUGGAAUUCCAGGUGUAGCG